rnacentral:rRNA from 2 species
GGAUGAACGCUGGCGGCGUGCCUAAUACAUGCAAGUAGAACGCUGAAGCUUGGUGCUUGCACCGAGCGGAUGAGUUGCGAACGGGUGAGUAACGCGUAGGUAACCUGCCUGGUAGCGGGGGAUAACUAUUGGAAACGAUAGCUAAUACCGCAUGACAACAGUUAUUGCAUGAUAACUGUUUAAAAGGGGCAAUUGCUCCACUACCAGAUGGACCUGCGUUGUAUUAGCUAGUUGGUGAGGUAACGGCUCACCAAGGCGACGAUACAUAGCCGACCUGAGAGGGUGAUCGGCCACACUGGGACUGAGACACGGCCCAGACUCCUACGGGAGGCAGCAGUAGGGAAUCUUCGGCAAUGGACGGAAGUCUGACCGAGCAACGCCGCGUGAGUGAAGAAGGUUUUCGGAUCGUAAAGCUCUGUUGUAAGAGAAGAACGAGUGUGAGAGUGGAAAGUUCACACUGUGACGGUAUCUUACCAGAAAGGGACGGCUAACUACGU